CCUACGGGUGGCAGCAGUCGAGAAUCAUUCACAAUGGGGGAAACCCUGAUGGUGCGACGCCGCGUGGGGGAAUGAAGGUCUUCGGUUUGUAAACCCCUGUCAUGUGGGAGCAAAUUAAAAAGAUAGUACCACAAGAGGAAGAGACGGCUAACUCUGUGCCAGCAGCCGCGGUAAUACAGAGGUCUCAAGCGUUGUUCGGAAUCACUGGGCGUAAAGCGUGCGUAGGCUGUUUCGUAAGUCGUGUGUGAAAGGCGCGGGCUCAACCCGAGGACGGCACAUGAUACUGCGAGACUAGAGUAAGGGAGGGGGAGGCGGAAUUCUCGGUGUAGGAGUGAAAUGCGUAGAUAUCGAGAAGAACACUCGUGGCGAAGGCGGGUUCCUGGACAUUAACUGACGCUGAGGCACGAAGGCCAGGGGAGCGAAAGGGAUUAGAUACCCCAGUAGUC
rnacentral:rRNA from 1 species